rnacentral:rRNA from 1 species
AUACGGAGGGUGCAAGCGUUACUCGGAAUCACUGGGCGUAAAGGACGCGUAGGCGGGAUGCCAAGUCUGAUGUGAAAUCCUAUGGCUCAACCAUAGAACUGCAUUGGAAACUGGUAACCUAGAGUAUGGGAGGGGGAGAUGGAAUUAGUGGUGUAGGGGUAAAAUCCGUAGAUAUCACUAGGAAUACCGAAAGCGAAGGCGAUCUCCUGGAACAUUACUGACGCUAAGGCGUGAAAGCGUGGGGAGCAAACAGGAUUAGAAACCCUAGUAGUCC